ACUCAAAUGAAUUGACGGGGGCCCGCACAAGCGGUGGAGCAUGUGGUUUAAUUCGACGCAACGCGAAAAACCUUACCUGGGUUUGACAUGCCGGGAAUCCUGAUGAAAGUUAGGAGUGCCCUUCGGGGAACCCGGACACAGGUGCUGCAUGGCUGUCGUCAGCUCGUGCCGUGAGGUGUUAGGUUAAGUCCUGCAACGAGCGCAACCCUCACCCUUAGUUGCCAUCAUUAAGUUGGGCACCCUAAGGGAACUGCCGCAGUUAAUGCGGAGGAAGGUGGGGAUGACGUCAAGUCCUCAUGGCCCUUAUGUCCAGGGCUACACACGUGCUACAAUGGGCGGAACAAAGGGUCGCGAACCCGUGAGGGGGAGCUAAUCCCACAAAUCCGUUCUUAGUUCGGAUUGGAGUCUGAAACUCGACUCCAUGAAGUUGGAAUCGCUAGUAAUCGCGGAUCAGCACGCCGCGGUGAAUACGUUCCCGGGCCUUGUACACACCGCCCGU
rnacentral:rRNA from 1 species